UUUUUUGGAAUUUCCCAGCGAACGAUAACAAAUCCAUCGUAUUUUCGUAUUGUUUUCGCACCGGGCAGAAAGUGAAAUUCGAUACGCGCAAAGAAAAAUCUUGGAAAGUAGGGGAAGGGGGUUGAAUACGACGAACGGUUGUCGUCCCGGCAUCGACACGAUGAUUUAUGAUCGUGUUUCUUUCGUUGGAGAGAUUCUCGAGAGUUGGUGGUGGACGGGCGGAAGAGGGAGAAGGGUUCGGUGUAAAAAAUUUCAUUAGAGUCUGUCUCGCGAGAAGACGCCGAGCUGUGCAUUACCUGGAAUGUUAGGAGUUUGUUAUCCCGGAGCCAUUGCACGCCCCUGAUGGGCCGAGUCUGAUACGGGGACAAUAUGACGCACCUCAAGGUGAUGGUCGACCCCGAUGCCACACUCUGCUCCCGUGGACCCAUUAUCGCAGCCACUGGUGCCGUGCUCUCGUAACCUGAAAUCCAUGCACGAACGAAAUAUCGAAUUACAAAUACUUGGAAUCGAUGUUCCGAAGGGAUAUCCCAACAAGGGGAUA